GAGGUGGGCUCAAGUUUCCCUUUUGUUCGGGCUCACCGAGAAAUGAGAGUGGGGAAGAGGAUGGUGAUAGAGAGAUUGAGGGAAAGAGAGGGAUGAUGGUUGUGGUGGCAAGACCUGGGCUGCCGGCGGCCAGAGAUGCGCGCAGCAGAUCCAGAUGGGGAAGGGGGUGGCUGCUGGGUGAGAGAGUGAUGAAGAGAGAAAUUCAGAUGAGAGGUGAAGGGAAGAAAU
rnacentral:lncRNA from 1 species